rnacentral:rRNA from 1 species
GACGAACGCUGGCGGCGUGCUUAACACAUGCCAGUCGAACGGUGAAGCGCCUUCCUUUUUGGUGGGUGUGGAUGAGUGGCGAACGGGUGAGUAACACGUGAGUAACCUGCCCCCUUCUUCUGGAUAACCGCAUGAAAGUGUGGCUAAUACGGGAUAUUCUGGGUCUGUCGCAUGAUGGGUCUGGGAAAGAUAUUGUUUCGGUGGGGGAUGGGCUCGCGGCCUAUCAGCUUGUUGGUGGGGUGAUGGCCUACCAAGGCGGUGACGGGUAGCCGGCCUGAGAGGGUGGACGGUCACACUGGGACUGAGACACGGACCAGACUCCUACGGGAGGCAGCAGUGGGGAAUAUUGCACAAUGGGCGCAAGCCUGAUGCAGCGACGCCGCGUGAGGGAUGGAGGCCUUCGGGUUGUGAACCUCUUUCGCCAGUGAAGCAGGCCUGCCUCGUUUGUGGGUGGGUUGACGGUAGCUGGAUAAGAAGCGCCGGCUAACUACGUG